rfam:Clostridiales sp. SS3/4 draft genome.
UGGCAUAUAGUCCAGCGGUUAGAACGCUUGCCUGUUAAGCAAGAUGUCGCCGGUUCAAAUCCGGCUAUGCCAG